rnacentral:rRNA from 1 species
AUUGAACGCUGGCGGCAUGCCUUACACAUGCAAGUCGAACGGUAACAUGCUCUUCGGAGUGAUGACGAGUGGCGAACGGGUGAGUAACAUGUAGGAAUAUAUCUAUAGGUGGGGGAUAACUACUCGAAAGAGUAGCUAAUACCGCAUAAUAUCCACGGAUUAAAGCAGGGGACCGCAAGGCCUUGCGCCAAUAGCCUAGCCUACAUUCGAUUAGCUAGUUGGUAGAGUAAAAGCCUACCAAGGCGACGAUCGAUAGCUGGUCUGAGAGGAUGAUCAGCCACACUGGAACUGAGACACGGUCCAGACUCCUACGGGAGGCAGCAGUGGGGAAUAUUUAGCAAUGGACGAAAGUCUGACUAUGCGACGCCGCGUGCAGGAUGAAGGUCUUCGGAUUGUAAACUGCUUUUAUUAGGGGAGAAACCUGUAUGGUUAAUAGCCAUACAGCUGACGGUACCUGAUGAAUAAGCCACGGCAAACUCUGUGCCAGCAGCCGCAGUAACAC